CACAUCUGCGCAAGCUGAUAAGAAGUCCUGGGCACUCCCUCCCCUGGAGCUGGAGAAGUGAAGCCACGCAAACCCUGGCUUCAGUGCAAGAACCCUGAUGCAGGUCUUUCCCCUUAACCACAGUAAAAACCAAAGCCACCUGUGUCUUCAUUCAACUCACUUUGGACCAGCUUUGGUGCCUGCCUUGCUCUCCCCGGAAGCCCCUCUAUAGCUCACCAGGACUCUUCAAUGCCUUAAAAUGCCUCUGCUGCUGCUGCCCACACCUCUGUUGCAACACAGAUCCUGAUUCUCAAGAUCAUAGAGGACGAACUCCCAUGGCAACCUACGGCGUGGCCAGAGGAUACCACCACGCUACCGGAUAACUGUGAAGCAAACCGAAAAAGACUGAGCUGACUGAGUACCGAACCUUAUCAGUGUAUCACGUGAUCAAUUCAAACCCGACUUAAUCCCAAGAAAGAGCUUUAUUAUGAAGAACUGGCUCACGAGAUUACGGAGGCUGAUAAGUUCCAGGAUCUGCAGUCAGCAAGCUGGGGACCCAGGAGAGCUGAUGGCUGGGUCUAGUCCGAAGGCUGGCGAGCUGGAGACCCAGGAAGAGCUGGUGUUUCAGUUCCAGUCUGAAGGCAGGACAAAGCCAGAGAAGGGGAUGUGUUUGCCUGUGUGCUCACCACAGAGGAUUACCAGAUGAACAAGCGUUACCAUUGCAUCGUAUCUGCCACAGUUAUUAAGUGCCAACCAGGUAUUGAACUACGUGUUGACAGGCAUUGGGCAAAGCAUUGGUGACACAAAGAUAAAAGAGAAAACAUUUCUGCCCUCAAAUUAUUCACGGUCUAAUGGAGAACAAAGAAGAUGGACGAUUGUAGUGUAACAUAUGAAAAGUAAAAUUCAGAGAAUUUGGGGAACACCAAGAGGGGAUCAUGUCCAGUCUGGAGGACUCAAGAACAUGGGAGACCCCUUGCUGCAGAGUCUAACUUACUGCAGUGUCUACCAGUUCCAAGCUGUUUCUCAAGACCCUCUAGAGACAUUACCUAGAAGGAAUUAUAAGUCCCAAGCAUCACAAUGUUCUCAUUCCAUGAUCUGUUUUUGCAGAAGUAUUUUACUCAUGGGUAAGAUGCAAAGCGGAAGAGAAGAACACGGACCUUGGAGUAAUCACUCCUAGGUCCAAAUCAUGGCUUACCCACUUAGUGGCAUUGCAACUUUGGAAAAAUGACUACAUGUUCCUGGACCCCAGCUUUCUAAUUUGUAAAAUGACAGUAAUAAUGAGGUAAUUUGUAGGUUUACAUGAGGCAACAUUUAAUGUGCUGAUACAGUUCCUUCCUGGCAUUUAACAAAUGUUUUAAAUCCAUGAAUAUUCAUUAACAUUCGUUACCUUUUGAAGUUAUUACCAUAGCUAAAAUUAUUAAUAGUAAAAUUCAAAAACUUUCAACAGUUUUCAAAUAAUUUAAUCUUAUGGAGCAGUGUUUUAAAGUGGAUACAACAUCCAGGACGGCAAAGGGAUUUCUCAAGUUACAAAUAGCCUUUAUUCUGAACAUGUAUAUGUAAAGCCAUUAUUUGGAUCUUAUAAUCACAUUGUCACACAUAAACAAUGUUACUAAUCCACGGAACCAUCAUCAAACACGUAUUGAAUAUAUGUUUUUGUGUUGGUGUUUCAGGUUAGAAUGCAAAAUCCUAUUUAACCCACAAUGUAAGUGAAAGGCAAGAAAUUCCUUCCAUUUGCUCCUUCACACAUUGCAGCUUAAAUCUCUUGAUGCAGCUGAGUUAACGGCCAGUUUCACCACUUGCACCCACUUCUGCGAGAGUAUUAACAUUGUGGUUAAUGAGUGUGGUUUUUGCACGGGUGUAACACAGACAAUGAAAUAUACACAAACAUGUCUACAUUGUGCAGUUUCACUAUACAUAAUAUUUUAUUAGUCUUUACAUUGGUUCUUUAUAAUGACUUGGUAAUUCGUGUUGUGCAUUAUCAAAAAUUUAUGAAAUGCUCUGAGAGUUCUCACCAAAGCCUUAAACAAUUUUAUUCAUUCAUUCAAUAAACAUACCUAUUAUGCUCUAGCUCUGUGCUAGGUGUUAGUUAUAACUAAUAAAUAAAGGCAUUUUCCAGCUCUGCAAUUUCUGUAAAAUUCCAAAAGAAAAUACACCGCCACAGCAUCAUGUGCUAUUCAGUGACGGACAAAACACCAGCUCUGCUUGACUGAAGUUCACAGCCCACAAGCUCGCAUGUGGUAUGGUGAUAAUCCUUUAUCGUACAGAGGGGUAUGUGUGUUUGUAGCAUUAUAUGCAAUGUGUAGAUUAAUAUAGUGUAAGUGGUUAUUAUAGCUUAAAUUUGAUUCAUUAAUCAUUUUUUUUUUAACAAAAAUGUUUUACUAGUCUUCCUUCAAGCUUUUGGAUAAGUUCAAUUUAAAAAUCUUGAAAUUACAAUCUAUUACUUUAACUAUUGGCAUUUGCAUUCCUGUGUAUUAGUAUUUUCUCAAUACUAUGCAGCCAGGAAAACAUCACAGAAAUAAAUUAGAUGCUGAAGUUGAUAUAAAGGUGCAGCUGUUAUUAACUGCUCCUAUUUUCACAUUUUUGUGUUCAACUGAAUACACCUAGCAUUCUCACUGAUUGAAUCUGUAAUAAGUAACAUUUUUUAACUUGAGCUUAUUAAAAUACAUCUAUACUAAUUAAUUUUUGGAUGUAUUUUUAAACGUUGGGAUUACUUGUAGGUGUUAAAAGGUUUUUUCCUGAAAGUCUUCUGAAAACCUGAACCAAGGAGAUAGAACAAAAACAAAUUAUUUUUAUUGUCAUUGUCAUCAAUAACAAGAAACACAACAAUAAGGAAAAUACUUGGGAAGUAGACACCUAUAAGAUCCUAUAGGAAAGCCAUAAGGUCAAAAAGAGUGGAGAUUGUUUCUGCUUACUAAAUGGAAAAGUUUUGAAGGAAAAGCAAUGUAUCAAUUCAAACCUUUGUGACAGAUAUUACUUGAGACAAUUUAUAAAUUAUCCAAAUUAUAUUUCUCCCAAAUCUCUACUAAAUGCUAAGAAGUAAAAAAAAAUUAUAGAAUUAUUCAUUAAUAUUUACCGUAGACAUUACAUUAGUUUUAGGUCAAUUUUAUGAUAUGAUUUAUUUGUUUAGUUAAAUAUAUACUGAGAGAUACAGAUACAGAUAUAUUGAGGCCCUUUGUAUAAUUGUCAUAUAUAUAUAUCCAUUGUAUAUUACUUUUAUGUCCGUUUUAUAUGACUGGAAGUCAAAUUUUACCACGAAAAUGAGCAUAUAGUAGUAUUUUUGUUAUUUUCAUCAUUAUGAAUUUUUUGUUAUCACUA
rnacentral:lncRNA from 1 species